GAUGAACGCUGACAGAAUGCUUAACACAUGCAAGUCUACUUGAACUUCGGUUUGGGUGGCGGACGGGUGAGUAACGCGUAAAGAACUUGACUCACAGUUAGGGACAACAUUUGGAAACGAAUGCUAAUACCUGAUAUUAUGAUUUUAGGGCAUCCUAAGAUUAUGAAAGCUAUAUGCACUGUGAGAGAGCUUUGCGUCCCAUUAGCUAGUUGGAGAGGUAACGGCUCACCAAGGCGAUGAUGGGUAGCCGGCCUGAGAGGGUGAACGGCCACAAGGGGACUGAGACACGGCCCUUACUCCUACGGGAGGCAGCAGUGGGGAAUAUUGGACAAUGGACCAAAAGUCUGAUCCAGCAAUUCUGUGUGCACGAUGACGUUUUUCGGAAUGUAAAGUGCUUUCAGUUGGGAAGAAAAAAAUGACGGUACCAACAGAAGAAGUGACGGCUAAAUACGUGCCAGCAGCCGCGGUAAUACGUAUGUCACAAGCGUUAUCCGGAUUUAUUGGGCGUAAAGCGCGUCUAGGUGGUUAUGUAAGUCUGAUGUGAAAAUGCAGGGCUCAACUCUGUAUUGCGUUGGAAACUGCAUGACUAGAGUACUGGAGAGGUAAGCGGAACUACAAGUGUAGAGGUGAAAUUCGUAGAUAUUUGUAGGAAUGCCGAUGGGGAAGCCAGCUUACUGGACAGAUACUGACGCUAAAGCGCGAAAGCGUGGGUAGCAAACAGG
rnacentral:rRNA from 1 species